rnacentral:rRNA from 1 species
AACGAACGCUGGCGGCAGGCUUAACACAUGCAAGUCGAACGCCCCGCAAGGGGAGUGGCAGACGGGUGAGUAACGCGUGGGAACGUACCCUUCAGUUCGGAAUAACCCAGGGAAACUUGGGCUAAUACCGGAUACGUCCGUAAGGAGAAAGAUUCAUCGCUGAAGGAUCGGCCCGCGUCGGAUUAGCUAGUUGGUGGGGUAACGGCCCACCAAGGCGACGAUCCGUAGCUGGUCUGAGAGGAUGAUCAGCCACACUGGGACUGAGACACCGGCCCAGACUCCUACGGGAGGCAGCAGUGGGGAAUAUUGGACAAUGGGCGAAAGCCUGAUCCAGCCAUGCCGCGUGAGUGAAGAAGGCCUUAGGGUU